CCUACGGGAGGCAGCAGUGGGGGAUAUUGCACAAUGGGGGAAACCCUGAUGCAGCAACGCCGCGUGAAGGAAGAAGGUCUUCGGAUUGUAAACUUUUGUCUUGUGGGAAGAUAAUGACGGUACUUGAGGAGGAAGCCCCGGCUAACUACGUGCCAGCAGCCGCGGUAAUACGUAGGGGGCUAGCGUUAUCCGGAAUUACUGGGCGUAAAGGGUGCGUAGGUGGUUUCUUAAGUCAGAGGUGAAAGGCUACGGCUCAACCGUAGUAAGCCUUUGAAACUGGGAAACUUGAGUGCAGGAGAGGAGAGUGGAAUUCCUAGUGUAGCGGUGAAAUGCGUAGAUAUUAGGAGGAACACCAGUUGCGAAGGCGGCUCUCUGGACUGUAACUGACACUGAGGCACGAAAGCGUGGGGAGCAAACAGGAUUAGAUACCCCGGUAGUC
rnacentral:rRNA from 1 species